GACGAACGCUGGCGGCGUGCUUAACACAUGCAAGUCGAACGGAAAGGCCCUGCUUUUGUGGGGUGCUCGAGUGGCGAACGGGUGAGUAACACGUGAGUAACCUGCCCUUGACUUUGGGAUAACUUCAGGAAACUGGGGCUAAUACCGGAUAGGAGCUCCUGCUGCACGGUGGGGGUUGGAAAGUUUCGGCGGUUGGGGAUGGACUCGCGGCUUAUCCGCUUGUUGGUGGGGUAGUGGCUUACCAAGGCUUUGACGGGUAGCCGGCCUGAGAGGGUGACCGGCCACAUUGGGACUGAGGUACGGCCCAGACUCCUACGGGAGGCAGCAGUGGGGAGUAUUGCACAAUGGGCGGAAGCCUGAUGCAGCAACGCCGCGUGCGGGAUGACGGCCUUCGGGUUGUAAACCGCUUUCGCCUGUGACGAAGCGUGAGUGACGGUAAUGGGUAAAGAAGCACCGGCUAACUACGUG
rnacentral:rRNA from 1 species